CGGGGAACUUGGAAUGUUUGUUGGGGUCAGUGAAGAAAGACCUUGAACACCCAGAAUGAUUUAAGGUAUCAGAAUGAAGGGUCAUGGAUCAGAUUUGGAAGAAAUUGAUGAUAUGGAAGAAAAACUAAAAGGAUAUGAGCUUUGGGAGAACAGGGUCUUUGAGCAGUGAAGACUGGAAAGCUAAGAAAGACCUCACAUUAUGUUUUGUCUCAACAUUUUUAAGGUCCAGUAGAAUUGGAUGUGAGUUCUAUGAAUAGUUGUAUGUAUUGGCACAGUGUUUCUAACUGGAGAGGAAAAAGAAGUUUGUUUAUUUGUUCAUGAAGUGUGAGAGAGUAGAAAGGCAAAGAUGAACUACCAUCUGUCUUUGCCCUUGGAUGGAUCUACUUCCUCUCUUUCACUUUUUUGAGACAAGUCAGACAUGAAGUCUCUUCCCCCUCUCUUUGAUCUGUGCUGGUCCUGUGAUCUGCUAUGACCAGUGGAAUGCAACAGAUGUGACAUUGUGUGACUUCUGACCUUAAAUGAUGCUACAUAUGACAUAUCUCCUUUAACUGCAAUAGCCAAGAUAUGGAAGCAACCUCAACGUUCAUCAAUAGAUAAAUGGAUAAAGAAGAUAUAUGUGAUAAUAUACGUACAAUGGAAUAAUACUCAGCC